rnacentral:rRNA from 1 species
AACGGACGCUGGCGGCAGGCUUAACACAUGCAAGUCGAACGGGUGUAGCAAUACAUCAGUGGCAGACGGGUGAGUAACACGUGGGAACCUUCCUAGGGGUACGGAACAACUCAGGGAAACUUGAGCUAAUACCGUAUACGUCCGUGAGGAGAAAGAUUUAUCGCCCUUAGACGGGCCCGCGUAGGAUUAGGUAGUUGGUGAGGUAACGGCUCACCAAGCCGACGAUCCUUAGCUGAUCUGAGAGGAUGAUCAGCCACACUGGGACUGAGACACGGCCCAGACUCCUACGGGAGGCAGCAGUGGGGAAUCUUGGACAAUGGGCGCAAGCCUGAUCCAGCCAUGCCGCGUGAGUGAAGAAGGCCUUCGGGUUGUAAAGCUCUUUUGUCAGGGACGAUAAUGACGGUACCUGAAGAAUAAGCCCCGGCAAACUUCGUGCCAGCCGCCGCCGUAA